rnacentral:tRNA from 1 species
GGAGAAAUGGCAGAGCGGUCGAAUGCGGCGGUCUUGAAAACCGUUGUCCGCCUAUCGGUGGACCGGGGGUUCGAAUCCCUCUUUCUCCGCCA